ACUUUUUUUCUCAUGGGUCGGUAUUCCUUACUUGAAUAGAGUGAAACAUUAGAACAUAUUGGAAACAGCAUUUUUUCGGCCAUUACUGUAUCCAGCCUUUUUUCGAAACAGAAUACAGGAAGAAAUCUACUUGUUUACCACAACAACUGCAACUGCAAGAUUUACACUCUGGAGUUCUUUCGAAGUAGUUUUCGAAUUCAAUUGCAGUUGAUAGCCAAAAAGGUUGUUAUCCGCCUUAUGAUUUCAAGGACAGAUAAACUGUUGCACAAAUAAAGUUGCAGUUUUUUAUUUGUAACUCAUCCGACCCAUCUGAGAAGAGGCUUAUAAAAGACGCCCUCAGGAUGGUGACAGUAUUCAGUCACUUUAGUGUCAGCUUACGUAAACUAGUAAAGUCACCAUGAUGAAGUACACUUUGGCUUUCGUCCUGAUCGCCCUUUUCGCGAUGAUCUCGAUCUCCCAGGCUAUGCCUAAACCCGAGGAUGACGCCGUUGCUUCUGACGAUAGUGUAAGCGCCAAGAGUACGGUCGAAAUAGAAUUGUCCCCGGAAGAUAUCGCUAAGCUAGAAGCCAUAUCAGGCCGUGGCUGGAGAGACUGGGUGGGCACGGCUCUUCAAAUCGCUACUACCAUAUUCGGAAAAUAAUGAAUGAUGAAUUUUGAAUAAAAUGCAAUCUGAAUGUGUAUCAACUA